rnacentral:rRNA from 1 species
CCUACGGGUGGCAGCAGUGGGGAAUAUUGCACAAUGGGGGAAACCCUGAUGCAGCAACGCCGCGUGAAGGAAGACGGUUUUCGGAUUGUAAACUUCUAUCAAUAGGGAAGAAAGAAAUGACGGUACCUAAGUAAGAAGCCCAGGCUAACUACGUGCCAGCAGCCGCGGUAAUACGUGGGGGGCACGCGUUAUCCGGAAUUACUGGGUGUAAAGGGAGAGUAGGCGGCAAGGUAAGCGAUAUGUGAAAGCCUUAAGCUUAACUUAAGAAUGGGAUAAGGAACUAUCUAGCUAGAGUACAGGAGAGGAAAGCGGAAUUCCUAGUGUAGCGGUGAAAUGCGUAGAUAUUAGGAAGAACACCAGUGGCGAAGGCGGCUUUCUGGACUGAAACUGACGCUGAGGCUCGAAAGCGUGGGGAGCGAACAGGAUUAGAUACCCCAGUAGUC